rnacentral:lncRNA from 1 species
CAUCGGAUAAUUUUUAUCAGUAGAUUAUCUCAUUGCAGAUAAUGCCAAGAAAUCCUAGAUAUCUCAUGUUUAUUGUUAAUAGCAUGAUAGUUCUUUUAUUAGUUCAAACCUAGAAGGUCUUGACAUAGAUCUUUUUUUUUUUUGAAAUUUAACAUUGUUGCUCUAAUUGACAUAGAAGAUUGAGAUUUUUUUGAGAUGAAAGUCCACCUGUUAAAUUUGUUGGAAGGUCAUUAGAAGAAAGAAAUAGAUG